CGCGUAGGCGGGCCUUCAAGUCGGAUGUGAAAACUGGCAGCUUAACUGCCAGCCUGCAUUCGAAACUGUAGGUCUUGAGUACAGGAGAGGAAAGCGGAAUUCCAGGUGUAGCGGUGGAAUGCGUAGAUAUCUGGAAGAACACCAGUAGCGAAGGCGGCUUUCUGGCCUGAUACUGACGCUCAAGCGCGAAGGCUAGGGGAGCAAACA
rnacentral:rRNA from 1 species